AGAGUUUGAUCGUGGCUCAGGAUGAACGCUGGCGGCGUGCCUAACACAUGCAAGUCGAGCGAUUUACUUCGGUAAAGAGCGGCGGACGGGUGAGUAACGCGUGGGUAACCUGCCCUGUACACACGGAUAACAUACCGAAAGGUAUGCUAAUACGAGAUAAUAUGCUUUUAUCGCAUGGUAGAAGUAUCAAAGCUUUUGCGGUACAGGAUGGACCCGCGUCUGAUUAGCUAGUUGGUAAGGUAACGGCUUACCAAGGCGACGAUCAGUAGCCGACCUGAGAGGGUGAUCGGCCACAUUGGAACUGAGACACGGUCCAAACUCCUACGGGAGGCAGCAG
rnacentral:rRNA from 1 species